rnacentral:rRNA from 1 species
GACGAACGCUGGCGGCGUGCUUAACACAUGCAAGUCGAACGGAAAGGCCCUGCUUUUGCGGGGUGCUCGAGUGGCGAACGGGUGAGUAACACGUGAGUAACCUGCCCUUGACUUUGGGAUAACUUCAGGAAACUGGGGCUCAUACCGGAUAGGAGCUCCUGCUGCAUGGUGGGGGUUGGAAAGUUUCGGCGGUUGGGGAUGGACUCGCGGCUAAUCAGCUUGUUGGUGUGGUAGUGGCUUACCAAGGCUUUGACGGGUAGCCGGCCUGAGAGGGUGACCGGGCACAUUGGGACUGAGAUACGGCCCAGACUCCUACGGGAGGCAGCAGGGGGGAAUAUUGCACAAUGGGCGGAAGCCUGAUGCAGCAACGCCGCGUGCGGGAUGACGGCCUUCGGGUUGUAAACCGCUUUCGCCUGUGACGAAGCGUGAGUGACGGUAAUGGGUAAAGAAGCACCGGCUAACUACGUG